rnacentral:rRNA from 1 species
UGGGGAAUAUUGGACAAUGGGCGAAAGUCUGAUCCAGCCAUGCCGCGUGUGUGAAGAAGGUCUUCGGAUUGUAAAGCACUUUAAGUUGGGAGGAAGGGCAUUAACCUAAUACGUUAGUGUUUUGACGUUACCGACAGAAUAAGCACCGGCUAACUCUGUGCCAGCAGCCGCGGUAAUACAGAGGGUGCAAGCGUUAAUCGGAAUUACUGGGCGUAAAGCGCGCGUAGGUGGUUUGUUAAGUUGGAUGUGAAAGCCCCGGGCUCAACCUGGGAACUGCAUCCAAAACUGGCAAGCUAGAGUACGGUAGAGGGUGGUGGAAUUUCCUGUGUAGCGGUGAAAUGCGUAGAUAUAGGAAGGAACACCAGUGGCGAAGGCGACCACCUGGACUGAUACUGACACUGAGGUGCGAAAGCGUGGGGAGCAAACA